UUUCGACGGUAGGGUAUUGGCCUACCGUGGCAGUGACGGGUAACGGGGAAUUAGGGUUCGAUUCCGGAGAGGGAGCCUGAGAAACGGCUACCACAUCUAAGGAAGGCAGCAGGCGCGCAAAUUACCCAAUGAAAACAGUUUCGAGGUAGUGACGAGAAAUAACAAUACAGGGCAUUUUAUGCUCUGUAAUUGGAAUGAUGGGAAUCUAAAACCCUUUCAGAGUAACAAUUGGAGGGCAAGUCUGGUGCCAGCAGCCGCGGUAAUUCCAGCUCCAAUAGCGUAUAUUAGAGUUGUUGCAGUUAAAAAGCUCGUAGUUGGAUUUCUGUCGUGGUCUUCCGGUUUCGCCCGUACGGGUGUUGACUUGGCUAGCCCUCGGCAUUCUUCCGGUGCCUUCCCCGCUUCACUGCGUGGUGGGUUUCUCCGGAACUUUUACUUUGAGAAAAAUAGAGUGUUUCAAGCAGGCUUUCGCCUUGAAUACUUCAGCAUGGAAUAAUAAGAUAGGACUUUGGUUCUAUUUUGUUGGUUUCUAGGACUAAAGUAAUGAUUAAUAGGGACAGUUGGGGGCAUUCGUAUUUAACUGUCAGAGGUG
rnacentral:rRNA from 1 species